rnacentral:misc_RNA from 1 species
CCUUGUGGAGGAGGACGCCGAAGGUGGGGCUAAUGACUGGGGUGAAGUCGUAACAAGGUAGCCGUACCGGAAGGUGCGGCUGGAUCACCUCCUAACAGGGAGACAACAAAAUGUUAAAUAUUAAUUUUGUCACCUUAGGUCGAUCGGUAUCUCAUGUUCUUAAUUAUUUUAAGAAUUUCAUUUCCUAAGUUUUUUCUAGGUCACACCCAUUACUUUUCCUGGGCCAUUAGCUCAGGUGGUUAGAGCGCACCCCUGAUAAGGGUGAGGUCCCUGGUUCAAGUCCAGGAUGGCCCAUAUCUCUAUGUUGGGGGUAUAGCUCAGUUGGUAGAGCGCCUGCUUUGCAAGCAGGAUGUCAGCGGUUCGAGUCCGCUUACCUCCACUGAUUACCACCUCUUACAUAAAUUUAAAGAAGGGAAUUGUUAAUAAUAGGUGAUUUAGUUCUGAACGAAUCUAGCUUCCUAAUAAAUACAUUAAGAUGCUGGACUCAUUGAAUUUUAUUCAUUGUUUUCAGAGAACCUUGACAACUGCAUAGAUUAUUUUUAAAGACAAUAAGCAUCUUUAAUGAUGCAGAUUUAUUAUUUGUGCUAAUGCAUUAAUAACAAUUCUAUUGAGCUGAUGCUUCAAUUUUUUGAAGUUAUUGGUCAAGCUACAAAGGGCUCACGGAGGAUACCUAGGCACACAGAGGCGAUG